AUGUUUCAACAUCGGAACGGCUGUAGAUAUGUUGAAUUACCUCUGAUAGCUGUUACUGAUCUACUUUGGAAAAUCAAGUCAUUUUUGCAGCUGUGAAAGCUUUGGAACACUUUCUUGGUGUCCAGUGAGCAACAAUUUUAUGGAAGGAGUUACCAGUGGAAGAGAGAAUGGGAAGUUCGAGCUCAAAAAACAAUCACAAAUCACAUCCAGCACCAUCACCUGCAGCCAGCACCACCACUGCCAGCACCAGUUCCAGCACAACUACUGUAGUCAUGAUUACAAGAGACAAGACCAUAUUUGAUAAACCUGAGUUCCUCUACAUAUUGGUGGCCUGUAUCUCUGCCGUCCUAUUGACCAUGCUGGUAUUUACAACCAUCUACUUUAUCAGGAAAAGGAAAGUUCACAAUACACCCCGAAAGACUUCUCAAGAGCAGGAUCCUUCAGAUACUGUGCAUCAGGCACCUGCUGAAAACACCCAGGUUCCUACGUGUCCUAACGAUGAGAUCACCUACGCCAGUUUGACUUUCAAACAGACGCCUCUGUCAAAGACUGCUCUGUAGUUUGUGCUAAUCACAGUGAAAUGAAGACAUCUUUGCUGCCUGCAGUUCAAAUGCAGAUGGAAGUUCUGUCACAAGCCCUCAGAUCUGCUUGGAAUCAUGUUGCCAAAUAUUGCAUGUAUAAUAACAUCAGCAGAUUUAUUUAAGCUGCGUGGAGGUCUGUCCCACAAGGAAGUGUUGGUGAGUGGUCAGAGCAGGGCACCAGGAGUUCAGAUUCCAUUGUUCUCACCCUGACUCAUGGUGUGAGCUUGAAGAAAUCACUUGUUUUUUGUGCCUCAGUUUCCUUAUUUAUAAAACAUGGAUAACCCUGCUUAUGAUGCCUUUGUCUCUUUUCAUUCCUCCUGCUAUAUUUUUGUGAUCCUUCAAACAGCUUCUGAAACUACUUUGCAUGUGUUAAUAAGUGACAAGAUAAGGGCAGGAAAUACUUCUCUCUUACUGGCCGGGAAGGGUUCAUGGGAUUGGUCCUGCUUUAAGCAGGGGGUUGGACUAGAUGACCUCCCGAGGUCCCUUCCAACCCUGAUAUUCUAUGAUUCUAUGAUCAUCUGUGCAGGUCUGUCCUGUCAGAUGGUCUCGUCCCUCUCUGACUUGUUUGUACACCCCCUUCUUAAAUUAGUAUUUACUCAAAUAGUCCAUUUUAUUGCACCUCCUUUUUAAAUUGUCAUUUGCUUUGGUUAACUGUGUUUGUUAAUCACAUAAAAAUAAUUCUCCCUAGUAGAUGGCAUAGGCAAAACUCUGCUUCCUGAUUGGAUCUUGAGAUGAGUACUUGAGGUUGUUUUUCUGGACAUCAUGUCCUCUGUAGAAUUUUAGGUUUCAAGAAAUGCUGUGAUGCUUAUGAAAUCGAUGUCCACCAUGGAGAUGUUUAAAAAAACAGGUAACAAUAAAUAAAUAGUGAGGACCCA
rnacentral:lncRNA from 1 species